AUGGAGGAGAGCACGGCGAGAGGCCGUGAUGGAAUGUGUUCCCAGGAGCCCGAUCCUGCGGAUGGAACUGCCUCUGCACUCGGCAACUCGCCGCCGUCCGCCGCCCUCUCUCCCGCAGUGCAUGACGGUACGAGGAGGCAAGAAGGACAAGCGGACGGGCCAGAUGAUGAAGCUUUGCUGACCAUCAACUCCGAAGGAUGGCAGCGGAGGGUCAGAGUCCCCGCCGGUGCCAUGGAGCGAGCGUCCAAUCCGUGUAGGACAACCGCGUUGGAGGAGUCGGUCAAGAAAUUCGCGGAGAAGAAAAGCGAUUCGUCGUGUACCCUGAAAUAGGAACUAAAUUCGACAGCCUUGACGAUGCUUACAAUUUCUACAACCUAUAUUCUUGGGAGAUUGGUUUUGGGGUGAGAUAUUCGAAGUGCAGGCUCAACGUGCACAGGCAGAAGUGCAUGCAGGAGAUUGCGUGCGGUUGCGCGGGGAAGCCGGUGAAGGAUAACACCAGGACUAUCCGUUGUGCUUGCCCAGCGCUGAUAAGACUUCUUCGUUCAGAUGACAGAGGUUGGUACAUAUGUGAACACAGGGAGGCUCACAAUCAUCCACUGUCC